GUUUGAUCCUGGCUCAGAUUGAACGCUGGCGGCAUGCCUUACACAUGCAAGUCGAACGGCAGCACGGGUGCUUGCACCUGGUGGCGAGUGGCGAACGGGUGAGUAAUACAUCGGAACGUACCUUAUCGUGGGGGAUAACGCAGCGAAAGCUGUGCUAAUACCGCAUACGCCCUGAGGGGGAAAGCGGGGGAUCGAAAGACCUCGCGCGAUUAGAGCGGCCGAUGCCUGAUUAGCUUGUUGGUGGGGUAAAAGCCCACCAAGGCGACGAUCAGUAGCUGGUCUGAGAGGACGAUCAGCCACACUGGGACUGAGACACGGCCCAGACUCCUACGGGAGGCAGCAGUGGGGAAUUUUGGACAAUGGGGGCAACCCUGAUCCAGCAAUGCCGCGUGAGUGAAGAAGGCCUUCGGGUUGUAAAGCUCUUUUGUCAGGGAAGAAACACCGGCUCUAACACAGUCCGGGAAUGACGGUACCUGAAGAAUAAGCACCGGCUAACUACGUGCCAGCAGCCGCGGUAAUACGUAGGGUGCGAGCGUUAAUCGGAAUUACUGGGCGUAAAGCGUGCGCAGGCGGUUAUACAAGACAGGCGUGAAAUCCCCGGGCUUAACCUGGGAAUGGCGCCUGUGACUGUAUAGCUAGAGUGUGUCAGAGGGGGGUAGAAUUCCACGUGUAGCAGUGAAAUGCGUAGAUAUGUGGAGGAAUACCAAUGGCGAAGGCAGCCCCCUGGGAUAACACUGACGCUCAUGCACGAAAGCGUGGGGAGCAAACAGGAUUAGAUACCCUGGUAGUCCACGCCCUAAACGAUGCUGACUAGUUGUUCGGGAUUUACAUCCUGAGUAACGUAGCUAACGCGUGAAGUCAGCCGCCUGGGGAGUACGGUCGCAAGAUUAAAACUCAAAGGAAUUGACGGGGACCCGCA
rnacentral:rRNA from 1 species